GGACGGGUUGAUCGGUGGGCCUUUGGGCACAGGCAAGACGGACCAUUGGGACAUGCAGGGCCUUCUCCCUGCAGAGCAGGAGUUCGGCUCAGCUCCUGCUUGGGCCAACAACGACUCAGCUAUGGUACAGGCCCAGGCGGCCAUAGACAACGACCACAUCAGAUGGUGGAGCGGACAGGUGGCUCAAAAGGACUCGUUGAAAAC
rnacentral:snRNA from 1 species